rnacentral:misc_RNA from 1 species
ACGGACGAGGGCGACUACCAGAUCAAGCUGCGCAAGAUGCGCGGUUUCCUUGAAGAAGGCGACAAGAUCAAGGUCAACAUCCGUUUCCGUGGCCGUGAAAUGAGCCACCAGGAACUGGGCCGCGAGAUGGCUGGCCGGAUCGAAGCCGAUCUGGGCGAAGACAUCGUCAUCGAAUCCCGUCCGCGCCUGGAAGGGCGUCAGAUGGUGAUGAUGAUCGCGCCGAAGAAGAAGACCUGACGCCUGACGGGCUGCCUCGCGGGGCGCCUGGCGGCUGAAUGGAUGAAGGUGAAGGGACGCCGCUGGCGUCCU